GAGAGAGGCCUGUGGCACUAGAGACUGCUAAUCUCUCCCCCCACAGUUAAAAUCUGUGGCUCACUCG
rnacentral:tRNA from 1 species